rnacentral:rRNA from 1 species
UGGGGAAUAUUGCACAAUGGGCGCAAGCCUGAUGCAGCCAUGCCGCGUGUAUGAAGAAGGCCUUCGGGUUGUAAAGUACUUUCAGCGGGGAGGAGGGGAGUAAAGUUAAUACCUUUGCUCAUUGACGUUACCCGCAGAAGAAGCACCGGCUAACUCCGUGCCAGCAGCCGCGGUAAUACGGAGGGUGCAAGCGUUAAUCGGAAUUACUGGGCGUAAAGCGCACGCAGGCGGUUUGUUAAGUCAGAUGUGAAAUCCCCGGGCUCAACCUGGGAACUGCAUCUGAUACUGGCAAGCUUGAGUCUCGUAGAGGGGGGUAGAAUUCCAGGUGUAGCGGUGAAAUGCGUAGAGAUCUGGAGGAAUACCGGUGGCGAAGGCGGCCCCCUGGACGAAGACUGACGCUCAGGUGCGAAAGCGUGGGGAGCAAACAGG